rnacentral:rRNA from 1 species
ACGGGAGGCAGCAGUGAGGAAUAUUGGUCAAUGGGCGAGAGCCUGAACCAGCCAAGUAGCGUGAGGGAUGACUGCCCUAUGGGUUGUAAACCUCUUUUGUUCGGGAAUAAAUGAGCCUACGUGUAGGCUUUUGCAUGUACCGUUCGAAUAAGCAUCGGCUAAUUCCGUGCCAGCAGCCGCGGUAAUACGGAAGAUGCGAGCGUUAUCCGGAUUUAUUGGGUUUAAAGGGAGCGUAGGCGGCCUUUUAAGUCAGCGGUGAAAUGUCAGCGCCCAACGCUGUCCUGCCGUUGAUACUGGAGGGCUUGAAUACACGCAAGGAUGGUGGAAUUCGUCGUGUAGCGGUGAAAUGCUUAGAUAUGACGAAGAACUCCGAUUGCGAAGGCAGCCAUCUGGAGAGCGAUUGACGCUGAGGCUCGAAAGCGCGGGUAUCAAACAGGAUUAGAUACCCUGGUA